AGGGUCAUGUGAGCCCAGGAAUUUGAGACCAGCCUGCGCAACAUGGCAAGACCUUGUCUCAAAAACAAAUAAACACACAAAGAAUUAAAAUUAAGUGUGACGCACAACUUCCGGCUGAAAAGAUGGUGGCUUCCUAGAGAGCUGGCGGUUGAUUUGGAGGGAGGCUCAGGCUACACUAUACAGGAGCCAUGGAAGUGGCAGAGCCCAGCAGCCCCACUGAAGAAGAGGAGGAGGAAAGAGAAGCACUUGCUCUGAUCCUGAAGGGGCUGAGGACCGGGCAGUGGGGGCACGGCAGCGUGGGUAGCCACAGCGAGGAGUGAGGCUGCCAAUGCUGAUGAUGGGAGUCCCAACAUUUCAGGAGCCGACCCUAAGUCCUGGUAGGUGUCCCCACCAGGCCUUGAGGCCCAAAUUCAAACACCAAGGGUCAGCUCUCCAGAGAAUUUGAUAAUCUGCCUGGACCUGUCAGAGGAAAUGUCACUGCUAAUGCUGGAGUCAUUCAAUGGCUCCAAAACCAAUCCCCUCAACAUCUCCCAGAUGAUCAAGAUAUUCGUGCAGACAAAACACAAGAUCAACAGAAGCCACAAGUUUGUGCUGGUGGUGGUGAACAACGACACGGCCUGGCUAUCCGGCCUGACCUCUGACCCCCGCGAGCUCUGCAACCGCCUCUAUGAUCUGGAGACGUGCCUCUGUGAUCUGGUUUCCUGUUCCACCUUCAAUCUAGAAGGACUUUCAGUCUGAUCCAGCAGAAAACUGAGCUUCCAGUCACAGAGAAUGUGCAGACAAUUCCCCUGCCAUAUGUGGUCUGCACCAUCCUUGUCGGCAGCCAUCCGCUCAGCCAGCCCCAGUUCUCCUUGAUGGAGCCCAUGAAGAAAAUGUUCCAGUGCCCAUAUUUCUUCUUUGAUGUUGUUUACAUCCACAAUGGCACUGAGGAAAAGGAGGAGGAGAUGAGCUGGAAGGACACGUUUGCCUUUACGGGCAGCCUGGACUGCAUGGCAAAACUGUUGGCUCACCCCUGCAGUGGCCCUGCGAGAGCCACGCCUCCUACAUCCUGCUGGAGGAGGAGGAUGAGGCCACUGUCUGAACCAUCCCUGUACAUCUGCACCUUCUUGUGCAAGGAAGCUCUUGGCCUAAAGCCUUGGUUCUUAAACCGGGUUCCUUGGGACCUCCAAGGGGUGCCAGGAGGCACCUAGGGUACCUUGCAGGGUCCUAGGAGGGAAACUUAGGAUUCCAGGAGGGAUUCUAGGAACUCUGGGUGCCCAUCUUCCAUGUUUCCCAGCCCAUUCCCACUCCUAGUUUGUCAUGGAUAAUUUUUGUCCUUCCCUGUGUGAUUUUUGUCAUCAAAAUAAAAAUAGAGACUCGUUAACAAUAACAAAAAAAAAAAA